AUUGAACGCUGGCGGCAUGCCUUACACAUGCAAGUCGAACGGUAACGCGGGGCGACCUGGCGACGAGUGGCGAACGGGUGAGUAAUGUAUCGGAACGUGCCCAGUUGUGGGGGAUAACUGCUCGAAAGAGCAGCUAAUACCGCAUACGACCUGAGGGUGAAAGCGGGGGAUCGCAAGACCUCGCGCAAUUGGAGCGGCCGAUAUCAGAUUAGGUAGUUGGUGGGGUAAAGGCUCACCAAGCCAACGAUCUGUAGCUGGUCUGAGAGGACGACCAGCCACACUGGGACUGAGACACGGCCCAGACUCCUACUGGAGGCAGCAGUGGGGAAUUUUGGACAAUGGACGCAAGUCUGAUCCAGCCAUGCCGCGUGCGGGAAGAAGGCCUUCGGGUUGUAAACCGCUUUUGUCAGGGAAGAAACGCUCUGGGUUAAUACCUCGGGGUAAUGACGGUACCUGAAGAAUAAGCACCGGCUAACUACGUGCCAGCCGCCGCGGUAAAAC
rnacentral:rRNA from 1 species